rnacentral:rRNA from 1 species
AUUGAACGCUGGCGGCAGGCCUAACACAUGCAAGUCGAACGAGUGGCGGACGGGUGAGUAAUGUCUGGGAAACUGCCUGAUGGAGGGGGAUAACUACUGGAAACGGUAGCUAAUACCGCAUACCAUCGGAUGUGCCCAGAUGGGAUUAGCUAGUAGGUGGGGUAAAGGCUCACCGAGGCGACAAUCCCUAGCUGGUCUGAGAGGAGGACCCGCCAAAUUGGAACUGAGCCACGGUCCGGACUCCUACGUGAGGCAGCAGUGGGGAAUAUUGCACAAUGGGCGCAAGCCUGAUGCAGCCAUGCCGCGUGUAUGAAGAAGGCCUUCGGGUUGUAAAGUACUUUCAGCGGGGAGGCGUUACCCGCAGAAGAAGCACCGGCUAACUCCGUGCCAGCAGCCGCGGUAAUUC